rnacentral:tRNA from 2 species
GGAGAGGUGUCCGAGUCGGCCGAAGGAGCUCGCCUGCUAAGCGAGUAUACGGAUAACCCCGUAUCGAGGGUUCAAAUCCCUCCCUCUCCGCCA